AUGUCUCCACUUCUGUAAUAUUGAGAAAUGAAACAUUCUAAUAUUAAUUUAUAAUCCAUAAAAUGCAAGGUAAUCAUGUAUCCCUAUUAAAGAUUAUAAAAAUAAUUCUGUUUUCACAUUUUCAUAAGUCAUUUUAUUUUCAGAUAGAAAAAUAGACCACAUACAGGGAAUGUGUACACACACACAUACACAUCUACACUAGACCACACAGAAGGUAUGCAUAUACACAUAUAUGCAUAUAAGUGCGUGUAGAUGCAUAAGCUAUAUCUGUAUAUGGAAAAACUGCAAACUGCUUACCUAUAAGGAAGGCACCUGGUAGCUUGGGGACACCAAACAGAUGAGAUUCUUUUUUUUUUUCCUGGUAUCAGGGAUUGAACCCAGGGGCACUCAACCACUGAGCCCUAUUUUUUGUAUUUUAUUUAGAGACAAGGUCUCACUGAGUUGCAUAACACCUUGCUUUUGUUGAGGCUGGCUUUGAACUUAUGAUCCUCCUGCCUCAGCCUCCCAAGCCUCUGGAAAAAUAUAGUUACUUUAAAAAGUAAUAAAAAUCCUAAAUUAUCAUUGCACAACAAUCUUCCCUACAUUAUUUGGUACUAAUUGUUUAUAGGAGAUUCAACUAAGGUGGGCAUGGUGGCACACACCUGUAAUCCCAGCUGCACAGGAGGCAGAGACAGGAGGAUGGCAAGUUGGAGACCAGUCUGGGCAAUUUAUCGACACCCUGUCUCAAAAUUAAAAAUAGAGAUGCAGCUCAGUGAUGGAGCACCUCUGGGUUCAGUCCCCAGUAUUGCCAAAGAGAGAGGAAGCCUGGAAGAAAGAUUUAAUUAAAAUGCAAACUUGUGUGUUUGUGAUGCAGUCUCUCCUGUUCUCCCACACCUGCGCGGUCCAAGGAGGGGCUGGGGGAGGAGAAGCACCCCAGGGGCCAGUACCUGCAGGAUCCUGGAAAAAGGGGCCCAGGAAGAGCACCAGGGCCACCUACAGAGGCCACAGUGUGUGAAGGAGCAUGGCCCUGCUGGGGACGCUGACUGGCAGGUAGGUGACUGAAGCCACCGAGCAGAUGAAGGGUUCUCAGGAGGAGCUGCUGGUGGAUAGACCAGAGCCAGGUCAGGGAGCCCCGGGACGCUUCCUGAACACCACGACCCUGAGAGGAACCAGAGUGUCAGGACAAGGACAGGAGGGUGAACCUGGGUCAGGGGCUGGGGAGUAGCUGUGGCUUAGCUGGGCUUAGCACACCUAGGCCUGGGUUCCAACGCCAGCAUCAAAGCAAACCUCCAAACACCAGGAACCUCUUGGACCAGGAAGUAAGAAAGCACUGCAAAGAAACAAUUGGGGACUGGGGACGUGUCAGGAGGAGACAAAAGCCGUGUGACCUGGCACCCACUAGGCCAAUCUGGAGCAAUUUGAGCAUCGAAUAAAUAACGACCAGUAAGGGAUCACAGCCUAUCAUAUAAAACAAGAAUCCAAGCAGGUGCAGUGGCACACACCUGUAAUCCCAGCAGCUCUGGAGGCCAAGGCAGGAGGAUCUCAAAUUCAAGGCCAGCCUCAGCAAUUUAGCAAGGUCCUAAGCAAUUUAUUGAGACCCUGGUUGCAAAAUACAAUAUAAAGAGAGCUGGGGAUGUGGCUCACUGGGUAAGAACCCCUGGGUUCAAUCCCUGGUACCAAAAAUAAGAAAAAAAAUUAAAAAGCCAGAAUCCAUUCAUCCAUCCUCCCAAUACAUACCUGACUAUAUCCAUAUAUUCAGAAAGAGAGAGGGCUGAGGGUAUGGCUCAGCGAUAGAGCACUCACCUAGCAUGUGUGAGGCCCUGGAUUUGAUUCUCAGCACCACAUAAAAAGAAAGAAAGAAAGGUAUAGUGCCCAAC
rnacentral:lncRNA from 1 species